rnacentral:rRNA from 1 species
UACAGAGGGUGCGAGCGUUAAUCGGAAUUACUGGGCGUAAAGCGCACGUAGGCGGCUUGGUAUGUCGGGUGUGAAAUCCCCGGGCUCAACCUGGGAACUGCAUCCGAAACUGCCUUGCUCGAGUAUGGGAGAGGGAAGUGGAAUUUCCGGUGUAGCGGUGAAAUGCGUAGAUAUUCGCAGGAACACCAGUGGCGAAGGCGACUUGCUGGAUCUUUGCUGACUCUGAGACGCGAAAUCGUGGGGAGCAAACAGG